CCUACCUCUCACCUCCCUCCCCUUCCUAUCUCUCUCCCCGUCCCUUCCGGUGCGGCAACAGUCGCCAACCGAGGCAGCGCCUCCCGCGGGCGGCGCUCUGACGCUAAUGGACCCCCACGGUCCCAUGCAUCUCCCCCAUCCUUUCCAUGGGUUUCACAACACCUGCUACUGACGGUUACUGACGGUUCCAUGGGUUUCGCAACACCUGCUCCCGAAGGUUUGGUGACAUGACGCCAACACGACCAAAAGGGGCAGAUCCAUAAAUAAUUUAGCUCAAUUUCGUGAAUUCGCCUAACCAAAGGUUUUAUGUGAUGACACCAGUGUGGCCAAAACAGACGGAUACAUUGUCCAGCUCUGUCAUUGAAAUUGCCAAGUAAUCGAACUCGAUUUCAGAGUAAUCAAAUUUUCCAAGCUUCAUUUUCCCUUUCAUUUUCCCCUAAUUAUUUUUUACGAUAAAAAGUCGUCGUUUAUCCAAAAACACAAAGCAAUAAAUUUUAUUAUGGAUUGACCAUUGCAACUUCUAAUUUUUUUGAGUAAUACAUCAUGCAACUUUAAAUUAUGAACUCAUCACCUACUAUGUCCUAUGAGGUUUACCAUAAUCUCCAAGUGUUUGCUUCACUUGAUCUUAGGAAAGAAAUAUUCAAGUCUUAUUCCUAUUGCAUCUUGUGUAUCCAUGCCUUCUCAUGGUGUGAGAGGUGCUAAUUUGGUCAUGGUGUUGAUAUAAACUGCCAUGGGACUCUCUUCAUUUAGGAGACAAUGCUAUCAGAUUCAUGAUGAAGUAAGUGCUCUUUCCAAAUUCACUCAGCCUAUGAGCCUAUCAUCAAUCUAUUUUUGGGAUAUGUUUUCUUUAUAAUGGUUUUUACAUUGAGUACCGUCUAAAUAUAUUAAUCAGUUGUCCAAACUCUAUUAUAAUGGCUUGGUUUUAUGAUGCCUCUUAAUGAAUAAGGACCCUUAUAUAUAAUGUUCCUUUGCUUUAUGGUUGUGCCUGCAAGCCACAAAUAUCUUAGACUACAUAGAUUCCUUAUUGUGCUUUUCGAAUUUAUCUACGUGAACCUAUAUUCUUCAGCCCUUAUUUUAUGAUAGUACCCUCACAUUCAAAUUUUCCUUUCAGAACCUAGCUGCUUUGCUGAGACAAGUUUAUUCUUUUUUGUUUGUGUGUGUCUGUGUGUGUGUGCACGGACUUACGCUAUCGCUCUUGCCUACUUUUAUCAUCUGCUUCGCUUUCUUGUGAGCACUAUGGUGUCUGUCUAGCGUGCUGUCACCAGCCUUGCCCUUUGCAACCUGCAAUAGUCCAUGCACAAAGGCAUCUCUUAACCACUGGAUGGAGCACAUUUGCUAAUAAGAAGGACCUUAUUUCUAAAGAUGAAGUUCUAUUCCUUUGUUGAAGAUUGGACAUGGAUGCUACACAGCCAGAUGUGGGCCUUGGACAUAAAAGAAAGGCCUGUCAUAUUUACAUGGACAAAAAAAAUUUGCCUAUCAUCUUAGACUUUUCUUUCAAAUUGAGCCUCGUCAAAUUUGAAGGUACUAAUGUCAGGUCUGCCUUAAAGCCAACAAAUAAGAGACAACAUAGUGUCGGGCGUCAUUCUUGAACAAUAAAAAUAUAGAACGAUGUUUAUUGGAGAGUAGCGAUCAGCAUGGUGCUACUUAGAUGCUAUUAGCAUGGUGCUCAGUGUCUUUAAAAAAUGGGUCUCCUGCUACAGAGCUGUUGUUUGUGCCCGUUCAAAAAAAUGAUGAAUGUUUAGAGUUUCAGUGUUGCCUCAUAAAUUUGAUUUUGCCAUAUUUUUUGUGAGGAAUUCAAUAGCACCCCCUUUGCUCCCUGGACUUAAAGCUGAUGAGAACGAUCUAGGUUUAUCUCUAUCGCUUUCAUCCAUCAUUCC